UUCUCUCCAUUAUCAGAAUAUAUGAAAUCGGAUUAUAUAAGAUGUGGAUUAUGAUACGAUAAUGAUGGCAAUGAAUGGAUCAAAAAAUCAACCGGGAAUCGUCUAUGGAUUAUGUUAUCUUUGUUCACAUGGGGGAGCCGGUAAAGUUGACCUUCCAAUUCACAAAGAUAAUCCUCUUCCUUUAGGGAUCUUGAAACAAGUCGCAUAGGUGAGAUUGUGUACUUCUUUGAGAACACUAGAUCUUGAAUUUCAUCGAUUUCUCCUUCUAAGAGUCUAUAGCCUUCAUAAUACUCUCUGAGAUUGGUAUGAACAAAAUGAAUCUCUUCCAUC
rnacentral:lncRNA from 1 species